UAUGAUUAAAAAUGAAUUUAGAAACAAAAUAAUUUUCAAUUAUCCAACGAUAGCAAAAUCAUACAUACUAAACAAAGCAACCAGAUGAUACUCAUGCUUAUAUACUCGAAAAAAUAUGGUGAAAAUGCAUGGACCAAAGUAUAAACGUUUAAUUCGAGAUAAUAGUACGUAAAAUAGAGCAACAAAGUAAUGAAACUGAAAAAAAAUACAAUAGCAUGCAUCGACUUGAAUUCGUAAUCCACUUCGCAACCUGAAGAAGAAGAAUGAAUGAAUGAAUUACACCAUGCCUACAUUGAUAAACUUUAUUGCCACUUAAUGAAAGAAACUUGAAACUUNNNN
rnacentral:lncRNA from 1 species